CUGACACUGACCCACUGAAACCAAGCUGGGGCUACCAUGGUCCUGUUGACAAUAACGAUGGCCAUUCCCUUGAAACGUCUCUUCACUUCACUCGGAAGUCAAAUGUUCUGAUGGCCAUUCCCAGCAUUUCACGGAAGAACUGCUGACGUUGCAUUCAAUCAAUAAACGAAUGGACUUGACAUGCCCUUUUAAAGACUUCCCUGACUGCCAUGAAGGGAGGGGGCUAAAUUGUGACUGUUUUCCCCCAUUCAGCGAUAUUUAUAAGUGUGGAGUGCUUUAUAGGUUUAGUGUGUGGGUGUGGACUUGGCAUUUUUACAUUAACUUAUAGGUUAGGAUCAGAAGGAAAUGUGCUUUCUUUCCUCCCAAAUAACUGUUGCGGCUAUAGCACCAUGCUAGCUGUUUUUUAAGUACCAGUAUCUGUUUCUUGUGGGUGUGUUAUUACUGUCAUUGUAAAAACUGUUGAAGUCUGGAUAAGCACAUGUUCCUGCCUGGGUUGUGUCCACUGUUCUGAAAGCGUGAA